UAUUUAUAUUAUUAGUUAUUAUUAUUAAUAUAAUAUUAACAUAAUUCAUAUUACUUUUUUUAAGUAUAUGAAAUUUUACUUUGAGAAAAUUAGAGUGCUUAAAGCAGGCAUUUGCCUUGAAUACUCCAGCAUGGAAUAAUAUUAAAGAUUUUUAUCUUUCUUAUUGGUUCUAAGAUAGAAAUAAUGAUUAAUAGGGACAGUUGGGGGGCAUUUGUAUUUAACAGUCAGAGGUGAAAUUCUUAGAUUUGUUAAAGACAAACUAAUGCGAAAGCAUUUGCCAAGGAUGUUUUCAUUAAUCAAGAACGAAAGUUAGGGGAUCGAAGACGAUCAGAUACCGUCGUAGUCUUAACCAUAAACUAUGCCAACUAGAGAUUGGAGGUUGUUCCUU
rnacentral:rRNA from 1 species